rnacentral:rRNA from 1 species
UACGUAGGGGGCAAGCGUUGUCCGGAUUUAUUGGGCGUAAAGAGCGUGUAGGCGGCCAGGUAGGUCCGCUGUGAAAACUCGAGGCUCAACCUCGAGAUGUCGGCGGAAACCAUCUGGCUAGAGUCCGGAAGAGGAGAGUGGAAUUCCUGGUGUAGCGGUGAAAUGCGCAGAUAUCAGGAAGAACACCCGUGGCGAAGGCGGCUCUCUGGGACGGUGCUGACGCUGAGACGCGAAAGCGUGGGGAGCGAACAGG